CACAGUGGAACUGUUCAUUCUGAAUGUGGAAUAAUACUCAAGUGUUUCUGUUGGACUGCACCAGAGACAAAGACGUUGAUAGAGACGUGAACAACCUUGUAAAGUGUUGUAGAUACUGACAGCAUGUGUUCCUGCUGUUUCCUCCUCUCUGUCCUGCAGUCAGGGCUGGUUUCCUGCUGCCUACGUGGCUCCUGUCGACGAUUUCUCCAACACUUUAUCAACAAGUGGUGGUUCUCUAAGGAGCCACAGUAUGAACAAUCUGCUGGACCCAACUGACACCUACACCGAUCAAUCAGAGAGCAACAGCUUUGGAGACGUCCCGCCCCCCGCCACCCCCAACCGCAGAGCCUCCGCCGAUUUCCGGUCGAGCUCUCCUCUCCCGGAGAAGAAGCUGGAGUCGGCCUUGGAGGCAAAGCCCCCCCCGCUGCCUCCCCCCCCGAGUCUCCGGAGGGGCUCUGCGGAUCUUCGGAUGUCAUCUCUCGCUGAGAGGACGGAGGAUUCAUCCUCUGAAGUCCAGAGCUUGUCGCCCCCCGGGCCGCCUGGUAACCCCCUGUUCCCCAGGUAACGUGUGUGAUCCAGCAGCAUGAAGGGCUUCAGGAGGGUUUGGAGUCCACGUCUCUGCCGUUUCAGAGGAUUAACACAGAUGUAAAGCAUCGUAGUUAAAGUGCAGCUGCGUGUUUAUGUUGGUGCACAAUAGUUCUGUCACUUUGUGAUUUAUUCAUUUGACUAUUUUCUGCACAUUUUGGUCUUUUCUCACUUCUGUAGCAACAGAACUUAUUUAUUUUGUAAAAAGAUUUUCUUGUAGCUUUGUAAUGUUUUCUAUCUUUGCAAACUAUUUAUCUCCCUCGAAGAAUAUAUUUUAAUGGCACUUAUAUAUUAAUAUAUGUAUAUUUCAAUCAAUUCAAUCACACCGAAUAUUUUCACUUCAUUUCCCCUGAGCUUCUGCGCUGCACAUAAAUGCAUCACAUUGUGCAGAACUGGUUAAGUUGCAUCUACAUUUAUUUAUAUAUUUUAAAAAAGCAACACAGAGACUCCAUCGA
rnacentral:lncRNA from 1 species